rnacentral:rRNA from 1 species
UCAGUUCAGAUCGUAGGCUGCAACUCGCCUACGUGAAGGAGGAAUCGCUAGUAAUCGCAGGUCAGCAUACUGCGGUGAAUACGUUCCCGGGCCUUGUACACACCGCCCGUCACACCAUGGAAGUUGGCCACGCCCGAAGUCGCUACUCCAACCCUCUGGGAGGAGGACGCCGAAGGUGGGGCUGAUGACUGGGGUGAAGUCGUAACAAGGUAGCCGUACCGGAAGGUGCGGCUGGAUCACCUCCUAA